GGCCAGCAUUACUGUUAGUUAAUGUCUAUAUGAAGGGCCAGCAUUACUGUUAGUUAAUGUCUAUAUGAAGGGCCAGCAUUACUAUUAGUUAAUGUCUAUAUGAAGGGCCAGCAUUACUGUUAGUUAAUGUCUACAUGAAGGGCCAGCAUUACUGUUAGUUAAUGUCUACAUGAAGGCCCAGCAUUACUGUUAGGUAAUGUCUAUAUGAGGGGCCAGCAUUACUGUUAGUUAAUGUCUAUAUGAAGGGCCAGCAUUACUGGUUAGUUAAUGUCUAUAUGAAGGGCCAGCAUUACUGUUAGUUAAUGUCUACAUGAAGGGCCAGCAUUACUGUUAGUUAAUGUCUACAUGAAGGGCCAGCAUUACUGUUAGUUAAUGUCUAGAUGAAGGGCCAGC
rnacentral:lncRNA from 1 species